GAUGGGAAACAGGUUAAUAUUCCUGUACUUGGUGUUACUGCGAAGGGGGGACGGAGAAGGCUAGGCUAGCCGGGCGACGGUUGUCCCGGUUUAAGCGUGUAGGGGGUGUGACCUGGUAAAUCCGGUUACAUAUCAACCCUGAGGCGUGAUGACGAUGCACUACGGUGCAGAAGUAGUUGAUGCCCUGCUUCCAGGAAAAGCCUCUAAGCUC
rnacentral:rRNA from 1 species